UACGUAGGGUGCAAGCGUUGUCCGGAAUCAUUGGGCGUAAAGAGCGUGUAGGCGGCCCGGUAAGUCCGCCGUGAAAGUCCAGGGCUCAACCCUGGGAUGCCGGUGGAAACUGUCGGGCUAGAGUCCGGAAGAGGCGAGUGGAAUUCCUGGUGUAGCGGUGAAAUGCGCAGAUAUCAGGAGGAACACCAAUGGCGAAGGCAGCUCGCUGGGACGGUACUGACGCUGAGACGCGAAAGCGUGGGGAGCGAACAGG
rnacentral:rRNA from 1 species